rnacentral:pre_miRNA from 1 species
UUUCUACUCCCUCCGUCCGAAAAUACUUGUUAUCAAAAUGGAUAAAAGAGAUGUAUCUAAAACUAAAAUACGUCUAGAUACAUUUCCUUUUAUCCAUUUUGAUGACAAGUAUUUCCGGACGGAGGGACUAUUUG